rnacentral:rRNA from 1 species
CGGGCGUUAAGUUGCAGGGUAUAGACCCGAAACCCGGUGAUCUAGCCAUGGGCAGGUUGAAGGUUGGGUAACACUAACUGGAGGACCGAACCGACUAAUGUUGAAAAAUUAGCGGAUGACCUGUGGCUGGGGGUGAAAGGCCAAUCAAACCGGGAGAUAGCUGGUUCUCCCCGAAAGCUAUUUAGGUAGCGCCUCGUGAAUUCAUCUCCGGGGGUAGAGCACUGUUUCGGCUAGGGGGCCAUCCCGGCUUACCAACCCGAUGCAAACUGCGAAUACCGGAGAAUGUUAUCACGGGAGACACACGGCGGGUGCUAACGUCCGUCGUGAAGAGGGAAACAACCCAGACCGCCAGCUAAGGUCCCAAAGUCAUGGUUAAGUGGGAAACGAUGUGGGAAGGCCCAGACAGCCAGGAUGUUGGCUUAGAAGCAGCCAUCAUUUAAAGAAAGCGUAAUAGCUCACUGGUCGAGUCGGCCUGCGCGGAAGAUGUAACGGGGCUAAACCAUGCACCGAAGCUGCGGCAGCGACACUGUGUGUUGUUGGGUAGGGGAGCGUUCUGUAAGCCUG